rnacentral:rRNA from 1 species
CCUACGGGAGGCAGCAGUAGGGAAUCUUCGGCAAUGGGCGCAAGCCUGACCGAGCGAUGCCGCGUGGGGGAUGAAGGCCUUCGGGUUGUAAACCCCUUUUCUGGGGGAAGAAGAACAGUCGUAGGACUGUUUUGACGGUACCCCAGGAAGAAGCAUCGGCUAACUCUGUGCCAGCAGCCGCGGUAAGACAGAGGAUGCGAGCGUUAUCCGGAAUCACUGGGCGUAAAGGGCGCCUAGGCGGCCUUGCAUGUCUGGGGUGAAAUCCCUCGGCUCAACUGGGGGAGGUCCUCGGAAACUGUAAGGCUGGGGCCCAGGAGAGGGGAGCGGAACUUCUAGAGUAGCGGUGAAAUGCGUAGAUAUCGGGAGGAAGGCCGGUGGCGAAGGCGGCCCUCUGGCGCUUGACUGACGCUGAGGCGCGAAAGCGUGGGGAGCAAACAGGAUUAGAUACCCUUGUAGU